UUGUCUCAAAGAUUAAGCCAUGCAUGUCUCAGUACAAGCCAAAUUAAGGUGAAACCGCGAAAGGCUCAUUAAAUCAGUUAUGGUUCCUUAGAUCGUACCCACAUUUACUUGGAUAACUGUGGUAAUUCUAGAGCUAAUACAUGCAAACAGAGUUCCGACCGGAGACGGGAGGAAUGCUUUUAUUAGAUCAAAACCAAUCGGCGGCGGGCGCGUUCGCGCGUCCGUUCGCCGCUCAAUUUGGUGACUCUGAAUAACUUUCGGCUGAUCGCACGGUCUCGCACCGGCGACGCAUCUUUCAAAUGUCUGCCUUAUCAACUGUCGAUGGUAGGUUCUGCGCCUACCAUGGUCGUAACGGGUAACGGGGAAUCAGGGUUCGAUUCCGGAGAGGGAGCCUGAGAAACGGCUACCACAUCCAAGGAAGGCAGCAGGCGCGCAAAUUACCCACUCCCGGCACGGGGAGGUAGUGACGAAAAAUAACGAUACGGGACUCAUCCGAGGCCCCGUAAUCGGAAUGAGUACACUUUAAAUCCUUUAACGAGGACCAAUUGGAGGGCAAGUCUGGUGCCAGCAGCCGCGGUAAUUCCAGCUCCAAUAGCGUA
rnacentral:rRNA from 1 species